AAAAGGUUUGCCAUACAAGCAUGAGGGUCUACCCAGCUCCCAUGUCAAGAGCCAGUUACAUGAAGGAUACAGACCUAACUUCAGUGGAGGAAACCUGCCACCUUGUCUGCUGUUUAGCCCUGAUGUUGGCAUCUCCUGGUGCUCUGUCAGGACGAGGGCAACCGGUACAGUUGUAUGUGCCACAAUUUUCUGACUGGCCAUGCUUCACUGGAGUCUGCUUCCUGCGUGGCUCCUGAUACCCAGCCCUUGUGUGACAAACGAGCAUGUCGGACCUUCUAAGUCUCUAUUGCUUUGGAAGAUCACAUCAAAGAGGUUUUACUAAUGAAUAAUGGUUACUGAAGGGAGACUUCUGGUUUUAGCUUCUCUGCCAUCCUCCCAUGUUCCUGGUCCCUGCAUCCUAUCACUAAGACAAUUUCAAAGGUACUGCAGGUAACAGGGUUUUAAGAGUGGGUGGCAGUUGGGCAUGGUGGCACAUGCUUUUAAACACAGCACUUGGGAAGCAGAGGCAGGUGGAUCUCUGAGUUCAAGCCAGGGCUCCAUAGGGAGACUCUAGAUGGAUAGAUAGAUAGUUGGGCAGACAGUGCCUUUGUCAGAUCACCUUCUACAACUACCCACCGUUGGAAGGCAAAGGACAGAAAUGACUGGAUUACAAACAUGCAGUAGAAGCUGCAGGGAGCUGAUGCUGGGGAGCAGGAUUUUUUCAUUUUUAGACCAGGU
rnacentral:lncRNA from 1 species